rnacentral:misc_RNA from 1 species
GAAACGCGAUAGGUAAUGUGAAUUGCAGAAUUCCGUGAAUCAUCGAAUCUUUGAACGCACAUUGCGCCUUCUGGUAUUCCGGUAGGCAUGCCUGUUUGAGCGUCAGCAAACCCCUCAGCUGAAUAAUUUUUGUAUUCAUGCUGGCGUUGGGCUUUGAAUGCUGGUGGACUGCAAAGUCCUGCCCGCACCUGCCCUAAACCUGCUGUACGACCGCGCGAGCCCUUUUUGGCUUGGUCAAUGGAGUGGUGUUACGAUCUUCCAAACGAACCUGCCAGAGCUUGGUGGCGUUAAACCCGAUGUCCUCCUAAAAAGGGACUGAAGUUUUGACCUCAAAUCAGACAAGGAUACCCGCUGAACUUAA